GCCAUGCAUGUCUCAGUACAUGCCGUAUUAAGGUGAAACCGCGAAUGGCUCAUUAAAUCAGUUAUGGUUCCUUAGAUCGUACCCACAUUUACUUGGAUAACUGUGGUAAUUCUAGAGCUAAUACAUGCAAACUAGAGUUCCGACCAGAGAUGGGAGGAACGCUUUUAUUAGAUCAAAACCAAUCGGUGGCGGGUUCGCUCGUCCAUCGUUUACCUUGGUGACUCUGAAUAACUUUGUGCUGAUCGCACGGUCUCGUACCGGCGACGCAUCUUUCAAAUGUCUGCCUUAUCAACUGUCGAUGGUAGGUUCUGCGCCUACCAUGGUUGUAACGGGUAACGGGGAAUCAGGGUUCGAUUCCGGAGAGGGAGCCUGAGAAACGGCUACCACAUCCAAGGAAGGCAGCAGGCGCGCAAAUUACCCACUCCCGGCACGGGGAGGUAGUGACGAAAAAUAACGAUACGGGACUCAUCCGAGGCCCCGUAAUCGGAAUGAGUACACUUUAAAUCCUUUAACGAGGAUCAAUUGGAGGGCAAGUCUGGUGCCAGCAGCCGCGGUAAUUCCAGCUCCAAUAGCGUAUAUUAAAGUUGUUGCGGUUAAAAAGCUCGUAGUUGAAUCUGUGUGUCACGAUGUUGGUUCACCGCUCGCGGUGUUUAACUAGCAUUACGUGAGACGUAUUACCGGUGGGCUUAGCGCCUCACGGUGCGGUCCAACUAAUAUCCCAUCGCGGUGCUCUUCAUUGAGUGUCGAGGCGGGCCGGUACGUUUACUUUGAACAAAUUAGAGUGCUUAAAGCAGGCUAUCUUCGCCUGAAUAUUGUGUGCAUGGAAUAAUGGAAUAGGACCUCGGUUCUAUUUUGUUGGUUUUCGGAACCCCGAGGUAAUGAUUAAUAGGGACAGAUGGGGGCAUUCGUAUUGCGACG
rnacentral:rRNA from 1 species